rnacentral:rRNA from 1 species
AGUGAACGCUGGCGGUAGGCCUAACACAUGCAAGUCGAACGGCAGCACAGUAAGAGCUUGCUCUUACGGGUGGCGAGUGGCGGACGGGUGAGGAAUUCAUCGGAAUCUACUUUUUCGUGGGGGAUAACGUAGGGAAGCUUACGCUAAUACCGCAUACGACCUACGGGUGAAAGCAGGGGAUCUUCGGACCUUGCGCGAUUGAAUGAGCCGAUGUCGGAUUAGCUAGUUGGCGGGGUAAAGGCCCACCAAGGCGACGAUCCGUAGCUGGUCUGAGAGGAUGAUCAGCCACACUGGAACUGAGACACGGUCCAGACUCCUACGGGAGGCAGCAGUGGGGAAUAUUGGACAAUGGGCGCAAGCCUGAUCCAGCCAUACCGCGUGGGUGAAGAAGGCCUUCGGGUUGUAAAGCCCUUUUGUUGGGAAAGAAAAGCAGCAGGUUAAUACCCCGCUGUUCUGACGGUACCCAAAGAAUAAGCACCGGCUAACUUCGUG